rnacentral:pre_miRNA from 1 species
GUUCUCUAAGAGGCGCAUCGUUAAUUCUGUUAUAUAUAUAUAUAUAUAUAUAUAUAUAUAUAACAGAAUUAACGAUGCGCCUCUUAGAGAAC